rnacentral:snoRNA from 1 species
GAGGAUGAUGAUAUGAUAUUGUCGCCCCAGUCUUAGAUCCGCUCUAUUCGCGGGCCUUUGCUGAUUGACACAUGUGAAUCUGACUC